GCUCAGCUAAAAGCAUCUUAUCUGUAUUUGUUUUAAUUUUUUAUUUUUGGGAAAAGCGCCUUUAGGAAGCAUGCGCCUACCCAUCUUUAUUGGUUAUUGUGAAAGAAAACUCUCGUGACUUAUAUCCAGACUGUCGAUAGGGCUCAAUGAAGCACCCAAGUCUCUAUAUAAGAAACUCAGAUGUCUCUCAUUAGGUAGUAGUUAGAAAGAGAGAGAGAAACUUAUUUAUUGCUUUGUAAUUUCAUUCAAAGUUAUAAAAACUUAGCCUUUGUUCUUCAAAUCUUUACUUUUGUUCUUCAAAUCUUUGCCUUAGUUCUUCAAAUACUUUCUGGGCUUGAGAUAUAGAGAGAGAAGUAUAAGACCUCUACCUAAUAACCAUAGCCAAGAGAGGGUGUAUCGGCAAAGCAAAGGGAGCAUGCUCUCGCGAGAUUGAGACUCUCAUAUCUAGACGAUGACUUGGAGAACUUAGUCAUAAACUUAUCAGAUUAGCACAAAGGGUGAAAAUUGGCUCAACAGACACUACUAGAAGCUCAAAUCGUGAAGCUAUUUCUGAAGCGUUGAGGCGAAUUAAUUUUUUAGCCUAAAACGAUCCAAAUUAUGAAUAAAAGUACAUAAUACAAUUAAUUUUAAUUUUAUUCCAAUUUAUUUUGGGUUAAGUAAUUAUUAUUGAAUAUAUUAUGGAAAUGAGUCCGAGUUGUGCUAAUACGAAAGACUGAUCCAAAUGAGCAAUCGAGUUGCCCAAACCCAUCCAAAAUGCUGACCCAAUCAGCUCAAAUCAGCUUAUUUACUGACUUGCAAAUCAGCCCUUGAAGUCUCCUUGAAAUUGCAUUCAAACUCCUCCACUUAUUAUGCUUUUGUAGAUUUGCCCCUAGCCAAAUAUAACAAGUUGAAAUCAUUAACAAAUGCAUGAGUGGUGGCCAGCCAUGGGGGAUUUAAUGGCUGAUAUUUCUUUGCUAAAAUUAGUAGCCAACCCACCUAUAAAUACCUCCCUUUGUUACUCAUUUCAGAACUCAACUCAACUCAACUCAAUUCAUUCACAACACAUUCUCUAUUUACUCAAUUUUCUCCCUUUGUUUUCCAUUUUCUUUCUUGUCCCUUCCUUUGCCGAUUUGUCCUCUUGAGAAAGAUAUUUCUUCCACCUUGGAGUAGUAGCACUCAAGUAUUCAUAGAGGUCUCGAAUUAACAGAACGAGCAAAGAAGAAAAGGAGCGUGUUAGUGACUUCAGAGAGACACUGAAUUUUUUUCUAGUUCCCUACUCUUUUAUUUUCUUGACUCUGUUAUGAUGAAUGCUCAUCAUUUCGUUACUCUUGAUUUAAUUAAAAUGGCUUAAAUUUAAUUCGUGUUA